AGAGUUUGAUCCUGGCUCAGGAUGAACGCUAGCGGCAGGCUUAAUACAUGCAAGUCGAGGGGCAACAGGGGUAGCAAUACCUGCUGGCGACCGGCAAACGGGUGCGCAACACGUACAGAACCUUCCUUUAAGCGGGGGAUAGCCCAGAGAAAUUUGGAUUAAUACCCCAUGGUAUUAUUGUCUGGCAUCAGGUAAUAAUUAAAGAUUUAUCACUUAGAGAUGGCUGUGCGUCUGAUUAGGUAGUUGGUGUGGGUAACGGCCUACCAAGCCUUCGAUCAGUAACUGGUGUGAGAGCACGACCAGUCACACGGGCACUGAGACACGGGCCCGACUCCUACGGGAGGCAGCAGUAAGGAAUAUUGGUCAAUGGACGCAAGUCUGAACCAGCCAUGCCGCGUGAAGGAUGAAGGUCCUCUGGAUUGUAAACUUCUUUUAUGUGGGAAGAAAUGUCCGGAUUAUUCUGGAUUUGACGGUACCAUAGGAAUAAGCACCGGCUAACUCCGUGCCAGCAGCCGCGGUAAUACGGAGGGUGCGAGCGUUAUCCGGAUUCACUGGGUUUAAAGGGUGCGUAGGUGGGUCUGUAAGUCAGUGGUGAAAUCUCCGUGCUUAACAUGGAAACUGCCAUUGAUACUAUAGGUCUUGAAUUUUCUGGAGGUAAGCGGAAUAUGUCAUGUAGCGGUGAAAUGCUUAGAUAUGACAUAGAACACCAAUUGCGAAGGCAGCUUGCUACAGGAAUAUUGACACUGAGGCACGAAAGCGUGGGGAUCAAACAGGAUUAGAUACCCUAGUAGUCC
rnacentral:rRNA from 1 species